GAUAAACGCUGGCGGCGUGCAUGAGACAUGCAAGUCGAACGGACGAUCAGGGCUUGCUCUGAUCGUUAGUGGCGGACGGCUGAGUAACGCGUGGGUGACCUGCCCCGAAGUGGGGAAUAACUGCCCGAAAGGGUGGCUAAUACCGCAUGUGGUGGUGCGUUCGAUCGCACCAGUAAAGCCGCAAGGCGCUUCGGGAGGGGCCUGCGUCCGAUUAGCUCGUUGGUGGGGUAACGGCCCACCAAGGCGACGAUCGGUAGGUGGUCUGAGAGGACGAUCACCCAGACUGGGACGGAGACACGGCCCAGACUCCUACGGGAGGCAGCAGUCGGGAAUUUUGCGCAAUGGGCGAAAGCCUGACGCAGCAACGCCGCGUGAGGGAUGAAGGCCUUCGGGUUGUAAACCUCUUUUGUCAGGGAAGAUGAUGACGGUACCUGAUGAAUAAGUCACGGCUAACUACGUGCCAGCCGCCGCCGUAACAC
rnacentral:rRNA from 1 species